rnacentral:ncRNA from 1 species
CAAAGGUUUGGUCCUAGCCUUACUAUCAGCUUUAGCUCAAAUUACACAUGCAAGUCUCCGCAGUCCCGUGAGGAUGCCCCAAACUUCCCACCCGGAAAUAGGGAGUUGGCAUCAGGCACAACUACUAAGCCCAAGACGCCUUGCUCAGCCACACCCCCAAGGGAAUUCAGCAGUGAUAAACAUUAAGCCAUAAGCGAAAGCUUGACUUAGUCGGAGCUAAGAGGGCCGGUUAAACUCGUGCCAGCCACCGCGGUUAUACGAGAGACCCUAGUUGAUUAAAGCGGCGUAAAGAGUGGUUAUGGAACUAUUCUUUUAAAGCAGAAAACCUCUCAAACUGUUAUACGCACCCAGAGGUCUGAAUCCCUCACACGAAAGUGACUUUAUUUAUGCCCACCAGAACCCACGAAAGCCGGGACACAAACUGGGAUUAGAUACCCCACUAUGCCCAGCCGUAAACUAAAAUGCUAAUAUACAACUAGCAUCCGCCAGGGAACUACGAGCACCAGCUUAAAACCCAAAGGACUUGGCGGUGCCUCAGACCCCCCUAGAGGAGCCUGUCCUAGAACCGAUAAUCCCCGUUCAACCUCACCACUCCUUGCCCUUUCCGCCUAUAUACCACCGUCGUCAGCUUACCCUGUGAAGGAAAAGUAAGCAAAAUGGAAACUUUCCAAAACGUCAGGUCGAGGUGUAGCACACGAAGUGGGAAGAGAUGGGCUACAUUGCCUGAUUAAGGCUACCAACGAAGAGUCGUCUGAAAAGACUAUUUGAAGGUGGAUUUAGCAGUAAAAGGGGAAUAGAGUGCCCCUUUGAAGCCGGCUCUGAGGCGCGCACACACCGCCCGUCACUCUCCCCAAUAACCCUAACCCACCAGUAACUUUAACCCAAAGCACAAAAAAAGGGGAGGCAAGUCGUAACAUGGUAAGUGUACCGGAAGGUGCACUUGGAAUAAC